rnacentral:hammerhead_ribozyme from 1 species
AUCCUGACGGGUCUCAAACAAAACGAAACGUGCGUCCUGGAU